UUACACAUGCAAGUCGAACGGUAACANGGUUAANNGCUGACGAGUGNCGAACGGGUGAGUAAUGCAUCGGAACGUGCCCGGUCGUGGGGGAUAACAUGCNGAAACGUGCGCUAAUACCGCAUACGAUCUGAGGAUGAAAGCGGGGGACCGUAAGGCCUCGCUGCGAUCGGAGCGUCCGAUGUCAGAUUAGGUAGUUGGUGGGGUAAANGCUCACCAAGCCAACGAUCUGUAGCUGGUCUGAGAGGACGACAAUCGGAAUUACUGGGCGUAAAGCGUGCGCAGGCGGUUUUGUAAGACAGGCGUGAAAUCCCCGGGCUCAACCUGGGAAUGGCGCUUGUGACUGCAAAGCUGGAGUGCGGCAGAGGGGGAUGGAAUUCCGCGUGUAGCAGUGAAAUGCGUAGAUAUGCGGAGGAACACCGAUGGCGAAGGCAAUCCCCUGGGCCUGCACUGACGCUCAUGCACGAAAGCGUGGGGAGCAAACAGGAUUAGAUACCCUGGUAGUCCACGCCCUAAACGAUGUCAACUGGUUGUUGGGUCUUUACUGACUCAGUAACGAAGCUAACGCGUGAAGUUGACCGCC
rnacentral:rRNA from 1 species